rnacentral:rRNA from 1 species
GCUGGCGGCAGGCCUAACACAUGCAAGUCGAGCGCGAAAGCACUUCGGUGUGAGUAGAGCGGCGGACGGGUGAGUAACGCGUAAGAAUCUACCUAGUAGUGGGGGACAACUCGGGGAAACUCGAGCUAAUACCGCAUACGCCCUACGGGGGAAAGCGGGGGACCUUCGGGCCUCGUGCUAUUAGAUGAGCUUGCGUUGGAUUAUCUUGUUGGUGGGGUAAUGGCCCACCAAGGCGACGAUCCAUAGCUGGUCUGAGAGGAUGAUCAGCCACACCGGGACUGAGACACGGCCCGGACUCCUACGGGAGGCAGCAGUGGGGAAUAUUGCGCAAUGGGCGAAAGCCUGACGCAGCCAUGCCGCGUGUGUGAAGAAGGCCCUAGGGUUGUAAAGCACUUUCAAUUGGGAGGAAAAGCUAACGACUAAUACUCGUUAGCCUUGACGUUACCUUUAGAAGAAGCACCGGCUAACUCCGUGCCAGCAGCC